GGGGAUAUAAUUCAAUGGUAGAAUCCUGACUUUGCACGUCAGUAGUCUAAGUUCGAGUCUUAGUAUCUCCA
rfam:Stachybotrys chartarum IBT 40288 unplaced genomic scaffold C40866, whole genome shotgun sequence.